UACGAAGGGGGCUAGCGUUGCUCGGAAUCACUGGGCGUAAAGCGCACGUAGGCGGCUUUUCAAGUCAGGGGUGAAAUCCUGGAGCUCAACUCCAGAACUGCCUUUGAUACUGAGAAGCUUGAGUCCGGGAGAGGUGAGUGGAACUGCGAGUGUAGAGGUGAAAUUCGUAGAUAUUCGCAAGAACACCAGUGGCGAAGGCGGCUCACUGGCCCGGUACUGACGCUGAGGUGCGAAAGCGUGGGGAGCAAACAGG
rnacentral:rRNA from 1 species